AUCUCUGCGCAGUGGCAGUAUCGUAGCCUAUGAGGUUUAUCCGAGGCGUGAUUAUUGCUAGUUGAAAACUUUACCCAAUACCCCGCCUAGACGACUUGAAAUAUAGUCGGCGACGGCAAUUUUUGACAAUCUCUACGGAGA
rnacentral:snRNA from 1 species